GACGAACGCUGGCGGCGUGCUUAACACAUGCAAGUCGAGCGGUAAGGCCCUUUCGGGGGUACACGAGCGGCGAACGGGUGAGUAACACGUGGGUGACCUGCCCUCAGCUCUGGGAUAAGCCUGGGAAACCGGGUCUAAUACCGGAUAUGACUCCAUGACGCAUGUUGUGGGGUGGAAAGCCUUGUGCGGCUGAGGAUGGGCCCGCGGCCUAUCAGCUUGUUGGUGGGGUGAUGGCCUACCAAGGCGACGACGGGUAGCCGGCCUGAGAGGGCGACCGGCCACACUGGGACUGAGACACGGCCCAGACUCCUACGGGAGGCAGCAGUGGGGAAUCUUGCGCAAUGGGCGAAAGCCUGACGCAGCGACGCCGCGUGAGAGAUGACGGCCUGG
rnacentral:rRNA from 1 species